rnacentral:rRNA from 1 species
GAUGAACGCUGGCGGCGUGCCUAAUACAUGCAAGUCGAGCGAACGGACGAGAAGCUUGCUUCUCUGAUGUUAGCGGCGGACGGGUGAGUAACACGUGGAUAACCUACCUAUAAGACUGGGAUAACUUCGGGAAACCGGAGCUAAUACCGGAUAAUAUUUUGAACCGCAUGGUUCAAAAGUGAAAGACGGUCUUGCUGUCACUUAUAGAUGGAUCCGCGCUGCAUUAGCUAGUUGGUAAGGUAACGGCUUACCAAGGCAACGAUGCAUAGCCGACCUGAGAGGGUGUUCGGCCACACUGGAACUGAGACACGGUCCAGACUCCUACGGGAGGCAGCAGUAGGGAAUCUUCCGCAAUGGGCGAAAGCCUGACGGAGCAACGCCGCGUGAGUGAUGAAGGUCUUCGGAUCGUAAAACUCUGUUAUUAGGGAAGAACAUAUGUGUAAGUAACUGCGCACAUCUUGACGGUACCUAAUCAGAAAGCCACGGCUAACUACGUG